UCAAUGGACGUUCUUCACGUCGGCUACAUUCUCAUAGAAUGAUUUCGCAGUGAAUACAGCCAGGCACCGCUCGGAUUUUUAUAACAUCUGAUUCUUCUCGUCACUGGGAAUCCGAAGAGACCAUAUUCUAAGGUUCACCUAGCUAAUGAUGUGAUGCUCUCAAGGGCCGUCUCAAGGGCCGUCUCAACGGCCGUCUCAAGGGCCGUCUAGAGUCUGCUGAUGAGAAUUCCAAGGACUUCCAUUAGGUCAAGUGGUCUACUAUCACAAUUAGGUAGACAGAGGCCAGUACGGCACGCAUAGAAGCUUCACGGAAACUGUUGGAAUUGGUUUGCGGCAGAAGGCGGCCAGAAACCUGCACAACAGCAAUUGCCACCAUAAGAAGAUGAAGUAUAGAGAGGUGGCUCUCAGCAUGCCUCAAAUCCAUGGCUCAUCAUCUACCUGUCCGUGGCUAGCCUAGCCGAGCUGCAGUGCGAUCGAGCCAGCACCACUGCAAGCCUAGUAGGAGCGCACUUUUGGUGUUCUGUGCAAGACACAGCAUACCCGCCCGACUUGACAAUGGCGUAAAUAAUAAUUAUGAGUGCUGGUGGCAGCUGUAGGAACCCAUUAAAAUCUAUUGGCAGAGUGUGA